AACAUUAUUCACUAAAUCUUCACCAUAAUAGUCCAAACAUACAAGUAAUUGAGAAAGAAUUUAACCAAACUAGAAUAAAAAUAACAAAUUAGAGUCCAAAUACAGUCCGAAAAGGCACUGCUUAAGCAUGAUUGAAUACUGUAGAGUCCAAAUGGUCUAGCUAAUUCAAUAAAAAACACAAUAAUCAAUCUUUGAAGAGCAUAGAACAAUAGUCCAAUAUUCAUCGAACAUUCAUCCAUAACUAUCUAAAUCAAUUAGAGGGAUUCAAAAUAUACUUCUCACAUUAACGAGAUCCAAGAAUUACUUGACAAAAAUCAAAGUAAAAGAAAGGUGAAAGAAUCAGCAACAGUAGGAACUUGUAGUUUAGCAGUUCAAACCCAGCAUACUUCGUUUAUUAGGGACAUACUCAAACCCUAGAAAUUUAACAUGACGGCCAAGCUUCAAAACCCAAAUGUGGAACCAGCUAACAACACUCGAAUUUUUGGUGUUUUUAGUUCUGAAAUCCCUUUCAGUGUAUUUAUUUUUAGUGUUUUUGAUGUAGAGAAUUUCAGUAAUUUUUUG
rnacentral:lncRNA from 1 species